UUGGGCCCCGGCUGUGUUUGCUAAGGCUCCUUCCCACACUCACGCUGUGACUCCGCCUGCUCGCGGGGCUCGGAGAAAUGCCCAGUUGGUGGAGACGAGUUCUUGGCUGCGUGAUCGGUCUUCCCCUGAGGGCAGGGUGGGGCAGACUUCUGCUUUUGGCCGGGUAAACCUUACCCGUCCCGGGCGUUCCAGUCUCAAACGAAGCUUCUUUGAAAUUUAACCGGAUUGGACCAUCCACGCUGAUUAUCAGUUGCCAAUUAGCCACUUUGAAGAGGCAAUGGAAAAAAAAAAAGAAGAAGCAGUGGGUUUACUGGAAAAAAUUGCAUGAAGUCCUGAAUUAGAAUGCCAGGAGACGCUAGAUUCUGGUCCUGCUUCUGUUUCAAAAUAAGGCGCCUUUACAGGUUUUACAUCCUUCGACCUCAUCUUUUAAACAAAGGAGGGGCCAGAGGGGCUAGCACAGAAAACACCUGCAGAAUACCAUUGGAUGUAACUUUUAAUUUGAUUGCUCUGGGUACACCUGAGUGACUGAAAAAGGAAUAGGAGGAAAACUCUUUCCCCAUUGUGUAUCUUUUGGUGCCUUUGAAUUUUGUACCUUGUGAACACUACUCAAAAAUUAAAUACAAAAAUGUUAAAAAUCAAAUUACAAUAAAAUAACAAAGGCCAUCAAA